rnacentral:rRNA from 1 species
AGCUUUUGUGGUUUUGGAUGGACUCGCGGCCUAUCAGCUUGUUGGUGGGGUAAUGGCCUACCAAGG